GUAAUGAUCAACACCAAAUCUUAAAAUAGGAAAAAUAAACUGUUCUGCGUGCAGUCUGGUGCAAGGAAAUACAUUGGGGGAGUUCCUGUGUGCAAAACCAAGAAGCCAUUGGAAUCAAUAACACCUUAAGUGUUUGUCAGACCACGUGUGUUGGUGUGCAAAUGGUGUGCAUGCUACCCAAAAGCUGAUGAUAUAACUGCCUGUUGUGGGAUCUGAAAAGCCAGGCUGAAGUCCAUUUGUGAAUGCAGUUUUGGUCCUGCCGCGUAUUUUUUUUCCUUGUUAGGGAAAGUGAGGGCACGCUCCUCUGUUUGGAAAGUCAGGGAUGCAGGAAGGCUGCUUCGGGAGGAACUCGUCCCUUUCCCAGUGGCAGCGGUUGGCAAGUGUGUUCUGGGUCAGUGACCUCUUUUGUUCACUGGUUUGUUAUCGGGGAUUUCAGCCUGAAAUGUAGGUGGAAAAAAAUGAAGAAAAAUGGAUGUUCGAAAUGCAAUUGGCAGGUUGCUACAGGUGAGGUUGUGUGAGUGAAUUCUUCAACCUGGUAGCGGCUGUUGUAUUGUUUUGUGUGGAAACAAAAGCCUUAAAGGCAAACAAAUGUAUCAGUGUUUGCUCAUUAAUGCUUGUGAGUGCCAGUGCACUAAUGUGUUAAAAGUCACGUGUGACCCGUAGCGGUCAUCCAUAUAUUAAACCUUUCCUGUGUGAGCAGGAGUUGUAAUUAGGAGAAUAGCUCUAAUAGACCUAUAAUGGAAGUUACGGUGGUGACGUGACCAGUAGUUGAGAGUAAGAUUAGGAACUACAAUAAAAAGUGAGCUUAUGUCCCCA
rnacentral:lncRNA from 1 species